rnacentral:rRNA from 1 species
GGGUCAGUAGGUUGGUCGUGCCACCGGUACGUACUGGUCUCACUGAUUCCUCCUUCCUGAAGAACCGUAAUGCCAUUAAUUUGGUGUUGCGGGGAAACAGGACUGUUACUUUGAAAAAAUUAGAGUGUUUAAAGCAAGCUAACGCUUGAAUACAUUAGCAUGGAAUAAUGGAAUAGGACGAUCGAUCCCAUUUUGUUGGUUUCUAGGAUUGACGUA